rnacentral:rRNA from 1 species
AGUGGCGAACGGGCGAGUAAUAUAUCGGAACGUGCCCAGUCGUGGGGGAUAACGUAGCGAAAGUUACGCUAAUACCGCAUACGAUCUACGGAUGAAAGCGGAGGAUCGCAAGACCUCGCGCGAUUGGAGCGGCCGAUAUCAGAUUAGGUAGUUGGUGGGGUAAAGGCUCACCAAGCCAACGAUCUGUAGCUGGUCUGAGAGGACGACCAGCCACACUGGAACUGAGACACGGUCCAGACUCCUACGGGAGGCAGCAGUGGGGAAUUUUGGACAAUGGACGCAAGUCUGAUCCAGCCAUUCCGCGUGCAGGAUGAAGGCCCUCGGGUUGUAAACUGCUUUUGUACGGAACGAAAAGGUUUCCAUUAAUACUGGGAGCUCAUGACGGUACCGUAAGAAUAAGCACCGGCUAACUACGUGCCAGCAGCCGCGGUAAUACGUAGGGUGCAAGCGUUAAUCGGAAUUACUGGGCGUAAAGCGUGCGCAGGCGGUUAUGUAAGACAGAGGUGAAAUCCCCGGGCUCAACCUGGGAACUGCCUUUGUGACUGCAUAGCUAGUGUACGGUAGAGGGGGAUGGAAUUCCGCGUGUAGCAGUGAAAUGCGUAGAUAUGCGGAGGAACACCGAUGGCGAAGGCAAUCCCCUGGACCUGUACUGACGCUCAUGCACGAAAGCGUGGGGAGCAAACAGGAUUAGAUACCCUGG